GCGCGAAAACUUUACAAUGCUGGCAACAGCGAUAAGGGAACCUCGAGUGCCAGGUUACAAAUCUGGCUGUCGAGAUGCCUAAAAAGCAUUUCAUAGCAAGGGCCGGGCAAGACCGGUGCCAGCCGCCGCGGUAACACCGGCGGCUCGAGUGGUAACCGUUAUUAUUGGGUCUAAAGGGUCUGUAGCCGGCCGGAUAAGUCUCUUGAGAAAUCUGGCAGCUUAACUGUCAGGCUUUCAGGAGAUACUGUCUGGCUCGAGGCCGGGAGAGGUGAGAGGUACGUUCAGGGGUAGGGGUGAAAUCUUGUAAUCCUUGAAGGACCACCAGUGGCGAAGGCGUCUCACCAGAACGGACCUGACGGCAAGGGACGAAAGCUAGGGGCACGAACCGGAUUAGAUACC
rnacentral:rRNA from 1 species